ensembl:lncRNA
CCCCCCCCCCCCACACACACACACCCUGCCCCGUCUCCAGUCCUGGGGCUGAGACUCUAGGGGCUCCAUCCUGAUCUUCUGUCAGAAAAAAAUACUUCUCCUGACUCCACCACCUUUUACCUAGUUGAUCCUGGAGCUGCCGUGCUCCUCAGGAGUUGUUUUGGGUGUUGGGAGCUGGGAGGUCAGCCUAGUUACAGACCGGAUUGUGGGGGUGGAGACUGAGGGAUCGAGGAGCCUGGAGGAGCAGAUGAUGGCACCGGGAGCGGGAGCGGUGGGGAGAAGGCACAGUCUUGGAGACCAUGCUCUGAGAUCCUGAGUGGGCUCGCAGGAUUACAGAUACCCAGUCCAGUCUCUUCCACGAUGACUGCCGCACCGAGCCCACAGGGGCAGAAAGCCCAGCACCCUCAGCUCCUCUCUGAUUUCCUUCUCUGCAGAGACCCCCUGGCAUUAUGAGAGUGGAAGUGCACCGGGGUCUAAAAGCAAAACCCAGAACUUCCACUGUGGUCUUGUUGCCUGACUUUCCUUGACAGAGGAAAUGAAGCCUUGCAUCACAGAACGAAGGCAAAGCCUCCUGAAGCAGACUUGGUAGCGCACGUGGUGGUAUGCUAUGACUGAUGGAAAGUGCAGAUGGGAAUUCACAUCUGACAACACUGACCACACCAUGAUCUCAAGGGCCUGCAGAUGGGGACAGAAAGCGUUACAAGACACAUUUUUAAAAUCAGGCUUUUGUCCUUGGAACUCCCAAGUGGACAGAGAAAAAGAGCUGCCCUCCCCAACCCCAACUCUCUCAGCUCCAGGAAACGGGACUGCUUUACCCCCAGUGAGAAGUGGUGAGCAGAAUGGGAGGUUGGAAACCCCAUAUGAAAACAGAUUUGUCUCUCUUGGCUCUUCCUUCAUCCUCAGUACAUUCUUCGGGUUACUUUGAAUGCCCUUUGUCUGCCCUAGCUGGAGCACAGGAAACAGGAAAGAACUUGUCCCUAGCACCUGAGUUUCUUAAUUCGUCUUGGGGGCAGAGGAGAGAAUGAUCCUGUGGAGCAGAGCUUCUCAAAGCAUGGUGCACAGAGAAUCGAGGAUAUCUUCAUUUUCACCCAUAUUAUUACUGCUGCUGCUGCUAAGUCACUUCAGUCGUGUCUGACUCUGUGCGACCCCAUAGAUGGCAGCCCACCAGGCUCCCCUAUCCCUAGGAUUCUCCAGGCAAGAACACUGGAGUGGGUUGCCAUUUCCUUCUCCAAUGCAUGAAAGUGAAAAGUGAAAGUGAAGUCGCUCAGUCAUGUCUGACUCUUAGCGACCCCAUGGACUGCAGCCCACCAGGCUCCUCCGUCCAUGGGAUUUUCCAGGUUUCCAAUAAAUCUUCCUGCCAGGGCAGGCCUAUCUCAGCAUCCCUCUUGAGUGCGACCAGAUAACAUUUGUAUUUCCAGUAAAGCCAGAGUACAGGAAGGGUCAAGGCUACCCUGGGGGCUGGAGUGUAAUGGAUUCAAGAAAAUGCCAACGUGAAGGAUUUAUUUGGAGUAACAGAAGUGGAGCUACUUGGCAAACUGCACUUCCUCACUUGGAAACUCUGUGGUGCUACCUAAAGACUGGACUCGAGGACAAACAAUCGCCUUCCUGAUUGAGCAGACUCUUGCCAGGAGCAAUGACAAAGGAUGAAGAAGAAGAAAAGAGCCUCCAUGGGUCCACUCCUUCCCUCUCCUGGGGCAGUCCCGGCAGAACAGUGUCUGAGCAGGAGGGCUUGGAGGGUGUGAAACGGGAUUGCUAAAUUGCCUAAGUCUCUAAAAAGAUCCAUAUGUCUGGGCGGCAUCAGGCUUCUGAGCUCAGGGAGGGGCCGAAAACGUCAUCUGCUGGACGGGCGUCCGGUUCUCUUCCUUUGGGGAGGAUUCCAUGUCAGUAUGACUAGAAGUUGUUAGACUUCAUGAUGACCCAGGUUGGGAACUCGGGGUGCAAGUGUUUGGGGUGUGGAGGAAGGGAGAGGGACAGAGAGUAAAUGGGAGUAAAUAAACCGGAAAGGUGAAGUUUCUAAGCUCGGGUCUGUGAAAUAUUUAGUAGGGAAAGAGUUUGGAAACCCCAGCAUAUUGACUUUUUUCUUUGAAAUUUUUUCUCAUGCCAGGAGAGUUUUGGGGGGAGCCACUGUGCAGUUGGAUGUUGGGCCAUUUGCCUACUACGUGGGAAGUCUAGAUGCCUAUUCCCAUAACUAACCCUCCAGAGCCAACGAAGAGUCACUCUCUUCCCCCUCACAUCUUUAACCUCCAAACUGCAGCUUCCUUCGGGGUAGGGGGUGGCAGAUGGCACACAGCUGUGGGACGCAUCUGGUCUUGCAGGGAUCAGAGGGAGGCGCAAAGACCAGUUGGAAUCCCAGUGGCUACCCCAGAGGCAUGGCUCCGAAGAUUUGGGGUGGUGCCCCUGACACUCUACCUAGAUCCCAUCUUGGACAGAUUUUCUGCGUUUCCUUAGUCCCCCACACCUCUUCUCUGCUCUGACUUCAACUGGAUCAGACAGAGAAGAUUUUGUGAGAGUGGGGAGGCAGCUGCUUCCCAGAUGUGUGUCUUCAGAAAUGGCCAUAUCCAAACACGGGAGCUUUGAGAGGAUUGGUUGGGGUGGGACUUGGGAGAUUCCUCUGAGGAUGUCCUAACCUGGGAGAGCUAGCACAGCAGUCGUCUGAAGACCCCAGAGUGAAGCUGGAGGACUGGAACUGGAGAAAGAAUGGCAAGGCCCUGGAGUGUUCUCAGCUCUUCUCUCCAAAACUCUGUGUCCAAACAUAUGACUUUAGUCAUUUGCCAGCUAAUCUGACUCACUGUGUGUGUGUUUGCUUCACAACUAGAACAUAGUCUUCUCCAAGGAGGUCUUGAGUCUGCCACACAGCUUGUCAGUAACUCCCCUGUUCCUGCAUUUCUCACUUGGAACACGAGUAGCUUCUAGUCUGGUCUCCUGAUAACCAUUUUUUUGUUGUUGUUGGUGGUGGUGGUGGUGUUUCUUCU